AGGAAAUGGAUGUUCAUCAGAGUCACCCUCCGCGGCACAGAGGAGGCGGGCAAAGACGUCUUCCCUCGGUAGGGUAGGCGUGCCCGCUGAGACCAUCCGGAGGACUGGGGAAGGCACUGGGCGGGGUCCCGCCGCUCCGCGGAACGCCGGGAAGGGGUCACUUCCAGAGGAAGGUUCCGGUUCCGGUACAGGCGGUGGUUGAGUUGUCAUAGCAACGUGGCUGGCAGGACCCUGGGUUUUGCGUUAGGGGUGGUAACAGGGCCGCAGAAGGCCUGGGUGGGUCUUCUCCAGCUUAGGUGAGCGACUCCGGUGCCUCCCUAAGGCCGCGGCGAAAACGGCCAUUCGUGGCGGAAGCCGGACCCGGCGCUGGAGUACGGGCUUGCACGGGCUACGUCAUCUGGCCCGGGGCCACGGGUCCCGGCCCUAUCCUGGCGCCCUGCUGCCCACGUGAGAGCGGAGUUCCAUGCCAGGCUUCCGGGUCCUCGCCUCUGGCGCGCGAUUAUUUCUCUACAACAGCUUUUAUUUUAAAAGUUUGCACCGCGUUCUCGUCUGUGUGAUCCUAUCUGGGUUUGGGGGCGUUGACUCUGCACCCUACUUAAGCCCUUGGACCUGGCCCGGGGAAAGAUUCUUUGAUUCCAGGUAAAUCAGAGAAACAGGCAUCAAGAACAGAAGAAUGAGGUCUGUCUGGAAAAAGCCCAGCCACUGUUAAUAUAGUGAGAACUGUUAGCGUGACAUCGCUGUAACCUGGCAGCCAAGGAGAGUGGCCUAGAAUGUGCAUGAAUGAACAAUGACAACCUCACUGCACUAGUCAGUGGGGGUGGUAGACACCGUUGAGUGAGCAUGUGUGCUGUGUGGUCAUCACAUGCAAAAUGACUGAGUGAGUAGAACAACGAAUCUGCAUCAAAUUUUGCAUUAGGCUUGAACAUUCUCCUGCAGAAACUAUUCAGAUGAUUCAGGAGGCUUUGGGGGAUGACGCAGUGAGUGCAGAGCAAGUAAAAGUGCGGCACAAAUGUGUCGAGGAUGAUUGAGAUUCUGUUGAAAGUGAUCCACGUUCUGGAAGGCCUGCAACAAGCAGAGCACCUGAGAAUGUUGAACGUGUACAGGCCUCAAUCAACAAAGAUCGACAACCCAGUGCCUGGCUGGGAACUUUCUGGGCGGGCCCCCUGGCUCAUAGGAGACGCCGGGGUGCUGGGGCGGGGCUGCUGUGUCAGAAGCUCAGCCUGCAGGGCAGCAGCAGAGAACACGUGGUUUCCGAAACCACCUUUCACUCGUGCUACAGUAAGUUGAUCCUUUUAGAAUAAAAGGCAGUUUGUUCCUGAAAUUGUAAGUUGUCCAUUGCCUGCUCAGCUGUCUACUUCGGCCUUUGCGUUGACUGGAGGAGGGAGGAGAAUUUGCACACUGGUGUUCUGAGGACCCCGAGGCACGGAGCAGUAAUGAUGGCCCUUAUCUAGGUGGUGACGUUGGCUUCGGGAGGGCGGUUGUCUUUCUCGGUUGUGUCACUGAGUUGGGAACACCGCUGUCGUUAAAGACUCAGAGUAACCCUUGAGCGGGGAGGACACGGAGCCCGUGUCUCUCAAGCGUGAGGUGGAGCGGCUGCGCACAGCGGGGAAGGGCGGGAACGGAGGGGGAAGGGAGGCCGUGGGAAAGCGUGUCCUUCAGGGAGCGAGGCGGGUGGCCUUGGUGGUGUGACCGAGGACAGGAGAGCAAAUCAUGUGUCCAAACCAAAGGAACUGGAAUGAUACAUCUAACUUUAAGUUUUUAAUAAA